rnacentral:rRNA from 1 species
AGAGUUUGAUCCUGGCUCAGAACGAACGCUGGCGGCAGGCUUAACACAUGCAAGUCGAGCGCCCCGCAAGGGGAGCAGGCAGACGGGUGAGUAACGCGUGGGAACGUACCUUUUGCUACGGAAUAACUCAGGGAAACUUGUGCUAAUACCGUAUGUGCCCGAAAGGGGAAAGAUUUAUCGGCAAAGGAUCGGCCCGCGUUGGAUUAGCUAGUUGGUGGAGUAAAGGCUCACCAAGGCGACGAUCCAUAGCUGGUCUGAGAGGAUGAUCAGCCACACUGGGACUGAGACACGGCCCAGACUCCUACGGGAGGCAGCAGUGGGGAAUAUUGGACAAUGGGCGCAAGCCUGAUCCAGCCAUGCCGCGUGAGUGAUGAAGGCCCUAGGGUUGUAAAGCUCUUUCACCGGUGAAGAUAAUGACGGUAACCGGAGAAGAAGCCCCGGCUAACUUCGUGCCAGCAGCCGCGGUAAUAC